rnacentral:rRNA from 1 species
GAUGAACGCUAGCGGCAGGCCUAAUACAUGCAAGUCGAGCGGCAAGUCGAGGAGUAAUCUGAGACCUAGAGCGGCGUACGGGUGCGUAACGCGUAUGCAACCUACCUCAUACAGGGGGAUAGCCCGGAGAAAUCUGGAUUAAUACCCCAUAGCACAGCACAAGGGCAUCUGCGAGCUGUUAAAGAUUCAUCGGUAUGAGAUGGGCAUGCGUCUGAUUAGCUAGUUGGCGGUGUAACGGACCACCAAGGCGACGAUCAGUAGGGGUUCUGAGAGGAAGGUCCCCCACACUGACACUGAGAUACGGGCCAGACUCCUACGGGAGGCAGCAGUAGGGAAUAUUGGGCAAUGGACGAGAGUCUGAUCCAGCCAUGCCGCGUGCAGGAAGAAGGCCUUCUGGGUUGUAAACUGCUUUUAUCUGGGAAGAAAAGGCCCAUGCGAGGGACAUUGCCGGUACCAGAUGAAUAAGCACCGGCUAACUCCGUGCCAGCCGCCGCAGUAA